rnacentral:lncRNA from 1 species
UGUUUGUGACCUACAUUGCACAGUCUCCUUAGAGUUUUCCAGAAGCGAGUCCUGAGAGGAGGUACAUGCAAUGACCAGUCAUAGCCAUUAGGGGGAAGCAUUUGCUCGUGAAACCAACGACGACGUGACCGACCAGUAACAGACUCAGAUUCCUAUUACCAUGCCCUUGAACUAUCCCAAGAAGCGGGGAUUGAAAUUUUUGAAUGAAUUAUAAACUAAGAGACACUACUGCUGACUCCCCAGGCUAGGAUUCUAGUUUAGUCGCAGGAUGUCCACAACAGACGACCCUCGCCUUCUAUUUGCCCGAGGCUAGAAAUCAAAAUUUGGCUCUACAGACCCAUGAUAUUCCCUCUCUGAUCUACUUCUCUGGACAUCUGGGUUUCCUGUGGAUUGUGUUCAAUCAGCAAUGUUGAGAAGUUUUGCCACGGUACAUCAAGAGUGUAAAUACGGCAGACAAGCUUUGCAUAAUCAGGAUCAGCAGCUUUGAGACACAGAGGUCCUUCCCAAGAACUCAACACAGGAAAGCUGGCCUCUGCCCCCAGAAGCUUCCAGGCGAAGGAGAACAGUCAAGGAGCCAAAGUCCUAGGUGCUCAGCUGGAGGGUGAUUUCCACUCACACCAAUCUUUCAAAACUCUGGGACUUGGGACCGAGCAGCAGCAUUAUGUCAUUUCCAGGCAAAGCCCUAAGUUCUGUCUUCGCUUCAUGUGGUCUCUUUUCGCAUUUUGCACUUCGUCAUUUGCUGCUUCAUCUGACCUAACUCAGCAGGGUCUGAAACCAAAGCCCCUCAAGGACAGGAGAUCUACCUCUGGGCUUGGAAUCAAGAGGACCAGUCCUUUUGGGAGGCCUCCCUGCUACCUUUGGGGCCUUGGGCAAGUCCCUGAAAGUUUCCGGGUGUCAGCCACCUAGUUGGACUCUGGGGAGAGGAAUGCCUACCAUUUGCUUCUGGCUCUGGGAUUUUAAAAGGAAAAGCAGCAGAGUCUUUGGAAACACCAAUCUCUGAAGACCCGGGGUGAACAUUAGUUACAACACCCUAGCUUCAAGGUGAUGUAAACUUCAUGUACGGAGGUUACACUCAGAGGAAUAAAGGAGCAUUCGUCAAACACGAGCCCCCCUCAAUUGGGGUCUAGGGUGGAGAUGGAUUAUUCAAAUGUCUGUGGGCCCAGGCAG